CAAAACUUUGAAGAAUAAGAGAAUGUCAUGCAUCACAUCCAAGGGUGUUACAGAGACAUGUUAGCUGUUCAGCAGACUGCUUUGCUUUUCUCUUGGGCAUUGAGCUGGGUUCAUUUCCCAGCUUACCUCAUUGUCUGGUGAGGCCUCGUGACUGAAGAAGGCCUGGUUCACGUAAAUCUCCCUGUCAGUCCUCCACUCUGUCUACCUCCCAUGCCUGCUGGACCUUGGUACUCAUCGUGACUGUGGAAGCUUGUGGUGACUUUGCUCACCAUGUGUUUAUGAUGUCAAAACACAUGAGACCGGGUCCCUGAAUGACUCUUUGAAGCAGAGCUUGCCUCCUCACCCCAUGGUUUCACUAUUGGAAGAAUAUAUGGAUGCUCUAUUUCCUGAGGCCUUUCUUAUCUGAAGUGUUGCUUCAUAUGACAACUUGAAAGGCACACAAUUCGUGAGUUGCAAAAUUUCUACUUUAAAAUACAACUAUGCACCUCCACUAUCUUCUGGCAUCUAAUAUGAGGAUGCUUUUUGAGAGGCUUUUCUUCCUGAAAGAUGGCAAAUGCUUCAAAAACUGAACAAGUUGAUAAAUUAUACCGGGACGAGCUCACCCACCACUGAAGUGCAACCAUCUUUGGGGUAGCUCCCUACAGCUGUUUACCACCAUGCUGUGGUGCCUAGGAGCAGUCUGUCAUAAAGAAAAGAAGAAUGCACUUGGAAUAUAAGCAACAGGCAAUUUGCAGAAGAGAAGAUAUAAUUAUCUAGAUUGGAAUAUGACCAGGACAACCAUACCAUUCCCACAAACCACCAAGAAGGCAAAAAGAAAUGCAUGAGCUUCAUCUGCUGUAUUUUGCUGGGCUAGUUCUGCCUACUUCUAACUCCCUUAUAAGACCAUGGAAAUGCUGAAUCACAGUGACAACUGAAUGGGGGAAUGAAAACCAGGAAUAGAGAAGUGUUUCCUUCUCUGUUAUUUAGGAUGAUAAAGCAUCAUUCUGAGAGAAGACUUGCAAAGCUACAUCUAGGGAACCUCUGUCCACUGAGAGUUUAACAUUAAGAUUACACAAAAUUUAGAAUGCAAGGGCUAGCAGAGAACUUAAAAUUAUCUGCACUUAUUUCUUCAUUUCAGAUGGAAAAACUGAGACCCAGUUAAAUGAAAACAGCAUGUGCACUAUGAAGCAGUUGGUAGAAGGAGUGAAAAAGUACCCCCUCCCCACAGUCAGGCUCAGUCCCAUGAAAUUCAUUCCACUAUGGUAGUCAGAUCAUAUAGUUAGUGUCAGACAAGCCACACACACCAUUAGCCCCAGGAAUAUUGAACGUUUCUGUGGUCUUUUAAAAUUUACAUGUACAUUUGCAUUGCCAGUAGGUUCUUUUGUUUUGUUUUGUUUUUUUCAGAUGGAGUUUUUCUCUUGUUGCCCGGGCUGGAGUGCAGUGGCAUGAUUUCAGCUCACUGCAACCUCCACCUCCUGGGUUCAAGCAAUUCUCCUGCCUCAGCCUCCCAAAUAGCUGGGAUUACAGGUGCGCACCACUGCGCCAGCUAAUUUUUUUUGUAUUUUUAGUAGAAAUGAGGUUUUGCCAGGUUGGCCAGGCUGGUCUUGAACUCCUGACCUCAGGCGAUCCCCACGUCUCAGCCUCCCACAGUGCUGAGAUUACAGGCAUGAGCCACCGCACCCGGCCUGCCAGUAGGCUUUUAAUAUCUCAGAAGAUGCAUGAAUUUAGAGUACCUUCUAGAGAUAAUUUAAGCUCUGUACAUAUUAAGAAAUUUAAAUACCAGUUAUUUACAUUCUGAAAGACCAUUGAUGAGAUCACACACCUUGAUGAAUUCUUACCUACAGUUCCUGAAGUCAUGUCAAGAGGAUUACCAGUCUCUUCUUCAAAGCUUUGGACCUAAGAUAUCAAAAUGCAUCAAUGUCAUUAGAAAUUUUGUCAAAUAAAUUCACUUAUUUUAAUCAACAUAUAAUAAGACUGGCAACUGAUAAGAGGGAUAAACAUGAGUUCCUGAACUCAAAUAACUUGCAAUCUGCUGGGAGGAGGUACCGGGGAUGAUGAAGAUUCAAAGAAUUAAAGAAGUUGAGGAAAGGGGAAGAUCACAACUGGAUGGGAGGAUCAGUGCUUCUUCUGGAAGAUGUGCAUUUGAAAGAAAUUUACAUAAUAAUAUUUCUAUUCUAGAUUUUUUUUUGCUUCCAAAGAACUUUAAGUAUAUUUGGAGAAAGUUAAUUAAGGCUUGAUAAAUUUAUGGAGAGUAAUUCAGAAAAUUUAAUUGCUAUAUAGUGCUUAGACAUUUUUCAAAAUUUUAGUUUCCAAAUUGCUAGAACAAAAUUUAUUUUUGAAAUUUUUAAAGAAAUUAAUAAAUACUUCUGUAUUGAUGAAAAUAAAGUUAUCAUUAAACAAAAUAAUGCAUAUUACUUCUAAAAUAGCAACACAGCUAAUUAUAGAAACUGAUACAUAGAAGAAGAAGGUAAAAAAACAGGGUUGGGCUUGAUAACUCAUGCCUAUAAUCUCAACACUUUGGGAGGCAAAGGUGGGAGGAUCACUUGAAGCCAGGUGGUUAAAAUCAGCCUGGGCAACAUAGUGAGACCCCAUCUCUACAAAUAAAAAGAAGAUAAGAAAACAGUUACUGUUACUCCAAAAACAUUUUGGAGUAUUUCUUUGCAAGUUUUCUUUUAUAUACAUUUUUUCUGGAUAUUGUCACAUAGUCAAAUUUUUUCUCUCAAAAAUUUGAAGGUGGAAUUUUUAUUCCACAUAAUAAGAUUUCUUUGAAAACAUCAUCUUUAAUGACAGGACAGUAGGCUGUUCUCAGGAAGUACAUUAGUUUACUUAACAAUUCUCCCACUGUUGGAAUGUUUUCUAAAUUUUGCAAUUAGAAAUAAUGCUGAGGUGAAUAUUCUUGUUCAUAAAUCUGUUCUACAUGUCAUAUUACUUAUUUGGAAUUGAUAUUUGAGUACAGAAAGCUGAAUCAAAGGACAUAAACAUUUUAAACAUUGUGGUACACAUGGCCAAAAAUGACCUCUAACCCAGGAAUAGACUAGGGACCAUGAGAAUAUAGCUCAACCAUAACAAGAAGAAAUAUUUAAUUUCUCUUUUUAAUCCUUCACAUCUUUUUUUUUCAAAUCAGUUACUUUACACUUGUAAUCUAUUAGACAUACUUCUUAGCAUUAUUUUCACUGGUGUUGGUAACUGAAGUCAGUGCACAUCACAUGCAUUUUCAAGUGUAAUAAAAAGUUUUUGCUAUGACCAUUAUCAUGGAGAAAAAUCCACUUAGGGCAAUGUGAAGCACAUGUUUGUCUUUUGAAAAAAAAGGAAAAGCCCCAUUAAUUUAAAAUGAAAGCCAGGUGUAUUCCUGGGCUAUUCCACCUGAGCCACACUUAUUAAUUAAUAAAAAAUAAAAUAAACAAAUAGUUACAGCUUUUGAAACAUUCCCCCACCUAAUCAAGAUGUUGACUGGGGUUGUUUAAUAAUAUGGUUAAUGUUCUCACAUGUGACUUCUAGAGAAUAUGAUGCUUAUAUGCAAACAGGAGGGAAAGCUAAAAAUCAUUUAUUAUGGAUAUGAAGAAGCAUCCUACCUUGAGUUUACAAUUGCACAAAUUUUACAAGUAUCAAAUUCACUUAAUGUAUUUGGGAAUUUAAAAAGAGAGGGGCUGACUCAAUUUUACUGAGUAAAAUUAAGCAAAAAUAUGUUGAUUUUUCCAUUAAAAAAUCUAUGCACAAUUUUGUUGAAAUUAUACUUUUGAGAAGUGAGACAAACAUUGCCAAAUGCAGCUUUUAGUACGACUUUAGGGAAAGCAUCAUUGGUUGAUCUGGAGGCAAAAUUUGGCCAAUCAUACUUGAAAUUCUGAUAACUAGAUAUUUAAGUACAUUGGCUCUUGUUUUAAAUGCCAUGAAAAUCUGCCAAUUUCACACAUAUUUUUCAUUUCUUAUAAUUGGAUUUUAAAAUUUGACAUUGAAAAAUAAAUAUUAAAUCUGGCAUUGGCUUCUGUUUAAGAUGCAAUCUACCCAAGCUUCAUUUACUCAUCCACUGGUAUUGAGUGAAACAAAUAUUUUUUCCCCAGUGAGAAUGUAAUAUUUUAUAUGCACUUUUUAUUAAAAUGAAAUUCGAGUAGUGUGUUUCUUUUUUAUUAUUUUAGGACUAUCUCUGCCUUACAUACACAUACAGUCUCUCACACACACAAAUCCUAGAACAUAAUAACACCAUAAACAAAGACGACUAUGAAGUUUGACAGAGUGUUCUGUUUUUCUGUGAAAGUCAUCCUUAGAUUAAAUUAAUAUUGUCAAAUUCUUUGGAUGUUCACUCAAUUAACA
rnacentral:lncRNA from 10 species